rnacentral:lncRNA from 1 species
CAUAUAAUUUUUGUUUGGAUACUAAAUUUGAUUAAAAUUUAGUCAUUUUAAUUAAAUUUUAAAUAAUUUAAUUUAAUUUUUAAAUUUAAUAAGUUAAUUUUUAAAAGUUAAAAAUUAAAAUUUAAUUUAAUUAAUAAUUUGUAAUUAAUUAAUUAAUUAAUUAGUUUAAGUUAAAUUUAAUUAAUUUUUUAAAAAUAAAUGAAAAUAAUUAAUAGGUAAACACUAAUUAAUAAAGCUCUUGAAUUUAAAAUGAUCUGAAGUUGAAUGUGUCUCUGUACAUUCUCACCCUCAAUUUUUAACAACUACAGUUUUUCCACAUUUACUAUAUAUUAUUUUGAUAUAAACGUUUAAAAUAUUUUAUUUUUAUUUAAUUUUAUUAAUAAUAUGCGCCAAUUUUUUUAUCAUCACUAUCGCUAACCAAAUAGUGGUAAAAAAUUAUUCAUUUAGUGGCGAAAGUAGUAUUGCCACUUAAAGUUAACUAAUUGGUGGAAAAAUUUUUCUAUCGCCACUUAAAGUUAAUUAAUUGGUGGCAAAAAUUUUUAUUGCCACUAUAGGUAACUAAAUAAUGGCGAUAAAAUAAUCAUUUAGUGGCGAAAGUAAUAUUGUCACUUUAAGUUAAUUAAUUAGUGGCAAUAUUUUUUAUCGCCACCAUAAAUACUGAUUUAGUGGCAAUAAAAUAAUUAUUUAGUGGCGAAAGUAGUAUUGCCACUUUAAGUUAGUUAAUCGAUGGCCAUUCUUUUUGUCGCCACCGUAAAUAACUAAAUAGUGGCGAUAAAAUAAUCAUUUAGUGGCGAAAGUAGCAUUGCCACUUUUACUUAACUAAUCGGUGGCAAAUUUUUUUUAUCGCCACAAAAAGUAACUAUAUAGUGGCGACAAAAUUUAUCGCCACAUUAUUUUUGCCACCAAUAAUAUAUUCUCUUGUAGUGUAAUAACCGGUAAAUCUAAAUGGAAAAAAAUUUUAGAUUGAUUCUGAUUCUUUUUUACCCCUUUGUUUGAGACAUUUUUAAUUCUUAUCAAUCUUAUGAGCAAGAUGAAUUUUUAACUUGGCCAUAAUUAAUUUCAUUCUAAUUUUGCUCACAAAUUAUCUAAAAAAACAACAAAUUUUGUGGCAAUGAUUGAUGUGUAGCCAACAAAUUAAACUAUAAUUCGUAAGGUGCUAAUAUUGUAUGUCAAAAAAAAAGGAAAAAUAGAAACGUGAUGUAUUUGAAAUAUUUUAUAGGUGAAGGUGCAAAUAUUCAAUUGCCAUUAAUUUUAUGAAGCCAACACAUGAUCUAGUUCAUGGUUCAACGCAUUCUCCCGUACAAAAAGGGCAACUAAUUGUCCUUUAAUUAUUUGGUCUCUUUUAGGUUGACCUAAUUAAUAUAUAUUUUUGUAUUUUAUUUAUGAAAAAUGUUGUUAGGUCACAACAUUUUCUCUUUCCCCCCUUAAAGUGGAAAUGAACGGAGGGUUCGUGUUCGGCUCGAUAACAGUUCGAAUAUAUAUUUAUAUUUAUAUAAUUUAUUUAAUUUAUAUUUAUAUAUAUUUAUAUGUAUAUAUGUAUAUAUAUAUUAUAUUUGAUUUUUAGCCCAAAAAAAAUAUUAAGUCGAGCACAAUUAUAAAAAGACUCAUUUAUAUAUAAAACUUUAACAAUUAGAUCAAAGUCUAAUAGGUAACAUUUUAUAAAUUUAUUUUUCAUAUAUAUCCAAUAUCUAAUCCUUUUAACUUAUUGUUCAUUGGCCAGCUCGUGAGCUAGCUCGUGUUCGGCUCUUUGACACCCUUAAAUAAACACCAGAUAUCACUGAAUAACUCAAUUUUAAGUAAUGAUGAAUCUUUAUUUAUGUUAAUACAGUGAAUAUACCUUUUGUAGGUUAAAAAAAAUGUUUCUUUUGUCCUUAUAAUUCUAGUUUAAUUUGUUCACGAUUAAUGUCAUUAUAUAUUGAACGAUUUGUUUUUUCGUGUAUAAAUAACUAUAAAUGUUUUUCAAAUAAAAAAGAAGUUUAAAACCAAACUAACAAGUUUUAAUACUAGAGCAAAGAUCAUGAUUGAUAAAACCUACCCGAUGUUUUAGGUUCGAAAACUUUUUGUUUUACAUUUUCAAAUAAAUUCAUUUAUAAAAUACAUAUAUUUUUCAAAACAUCUGAAAUAUUUUAUAUAUUUCUAUUUUUUAUUUUCAAACAUAUCUCUCGUACAUUUCUUCGUUAUUCAAAAAUGCUUUCGUUGUUUGUUCCGUUAAGUCAUCUCGAAUUAAAUCCAGUAAAAUUUCUACCAAAAUUUAAAAAAGUCAAAAUACCUCUUUUGCCUUUAACUUAAGUACACAUAAAAUAAAGUUUAUAACUGUAGAAAGAUAUAUUUGAAGAGGCAAAAAAUCAAAAUACGGUUUUUUAUCUCAAACUUAAGAACAAAUAAAAAAAGUUGGUGACAGUAAAAGAAUAUAUUUGAAAAGAUAAAAUAAUAAAUAAACAGAUAUAACGAUUGUUAUAUUUGAAAAAACUCGAAACGUUAAAAAGGAUUUUUUUUUAUUUUUAUUUUUUUUUACAUUAGCCUUUUAAAUAGGGUAAAUAAGAACAUCAGAAAAUUUUCAUGAAUAUAUAAAUAGUAUUCUAACUUUCUUUAAAAGAUGGAAUUUCAGUUCUUGUUUGGACUAAUUAUCUUUCUUGCCAGGUGUUGGUUGAAAACUCGCUCAAAAACAAACUCGUUCGUGUGAAAGAAACAAGAGUUAUGAUUGGUACCUUUGACUAGAACGUUCAACAUUUCACAGGAGCUUUUAUGAAGUACCUUUCUCGAGGAAGUUUCUAGCUUGGUGCAGUCGCUUUUUUUAGGGCUUUUUUUUUGCAAAUAGUUUCCUUGUAAUUUUUUUUUUUAAAUUGGCCAUGUUAAAAAUUUAUUUGUAAAAAUUGCUCUGGCCUCGCCACGCAAGCGCCACGUCAGCACCACGCGGGCGGGACUAGGCCAGAUGGUUAAGUUGAAUACGGUGAACCAUUCACCGUGUUCAAUACAAAAUUUUUGUAUUGGACACGGUGAAUGAUUCACCGUGUCCAAUACAAAAUAGCUAAGAUCGAAAUAUUUGUAUUGGACACGGUGAACCAUUCACCGUGUUCAAUACAAAUAAUUGAACACGGUGAAUGGUUCACCGUGUCUAAUACAAAUACAUCCAAUUUAGUCAUUGUUGGGGUAUUUGUAUUGGACACGGUAAAUGAUUCACCGUGUCUAAUACAAAAAUUUUGUAUUGAACACGGUGAAUAGUUCACCGUGUUCAACUUAAAUACCUGGACCCGCCCUGCCCGCGUGGCGCUGACGUGGCGCUGGCGUGGCAGGAGCAGGGCCAUUUUUGCAAAUAAUUUUUGGACGGGGCUAUUUUUAUAAAUAAAAUUUGUCAGGGGGCUAUUUGCAAAAAAGCCUCUUUUCUUAUCCAUUCAGGGUUGCGGGCGCGACUCGGUAACAAUAACAAUUCGUUGGAUUUAAAUUAUUGACCCAAAAUACUUAAGAGACUAUUGGGGCGUUAGAAACUCAUCAUGGGAUGUUACAAACUCUUCCUUUCCGCGAGGAAGUUUUUACAAACUCUUCUUUUUCGCGAGGAAGUUUCUAGCUUGGUGCAGUCGCUUUUUUUUUUUAUCCAUUCAGGGUUGCGGGUGCGACCCGGUAACAAUAAUAAUUCAUUGGAUUUAAAUCAUUGGCCCAAAAUACUUAAGAGAUUCUUGGGGCGUUAUAAAUUCGUCGUGGGACGUUACAAACUCUUCCUGUUUAGACUCGGCUCCUACGUGUUGAAGAGGUGUGGCUUCUACCAAAUUUAUUGAUAUAACACUUGCGGUUGGUAUUCAGCUCUGAUACCAAUUGUAACGACUUGACGUGCUAGUAACUCAUUGGCCCAAAUCACUGGUUCAAAAUACUUAAAUCUAAUUAUUAUUAUUAACAUAUAGGUCUUAUAUAUUCUAAUAAAAAAAAAAAUUUCAUCUGAUGUGGAACAACUGGUAUGUUACAGAUAAUUUCUCCAGUCUCAGAUCAGAUAGAUCUGGACAACAAACAGACUUUUAAUCACGAGCCAGUUGUAAUUUCUGGAUUUGAAUCACGCACCCACCGAGUUACACGUGUUUGGCGUUGCUACGAACUUCAAAACAGAGAAAGAAAACUUAGGCUUAGUUUGGUAUUAAGAUCUAUCUAACGCUAUUAGAUAAAAUGGAGUUGAGGAAAAAGCAUAUAGGGAUAUGCCUCUGCGUUCUUCAGUGGGACCGUAGAAAAUAUAUCGUAACUGACUCAUCGCGAUAUGCGGAAUGCAAUAUUACGUACGAAAACAAACAGGGUAUUUUUCCAACAUACUUUUUCAACGCACGUAACGCAAUCUCCCCGCAAUCUCAAACGAAGCCUUAAAUGACGAUAUCUCUCUCUCAAAAAAAAAAAGAAAAAGAAAAAAAAGACACUCUGAUACUCAGUACUAACAGUGUUUUUCUCACUUGCUAUAUUCUACACUAUAUAUUUUAAACUUAUAUUUAUUUUUUAGAUAUCAUUGAGCUAUUUUUUUUUUUUUUAUUCUUGUCAAUUUCUAUAUUACUAUUAACAAAUUAAUUUGUAAUUUUAGACAAAAUUUAACAGCUUUAUUAAAAGACACUAAUUAAAUUGCAAAAAAAUAUAAAAUAAAUCUCUAUGAUUGAUGUGAGACCCCAGAUAGUCCUAUAUAUAAAAUAUAAUAGGGCUAAACUCUUAACCCGGCUUAAGCAUUUUGGGUGGUGGCAAGGCCCAAGAGGUUAAGAGAGUUAAGCGUGCUAGGACGGGAGUAGUCCUAGGAUGGGUGACCCCCUGGGAAGUCGGGGCGUUACAAUUGACUCCUUAGAAGCUUCUAUCAAGUUAGUUUUAUACAAUUUGUUAUUUUAUGUUAGAAAUAGAGUUAAUAUAUGCUCUAACACUUUUAAUGAGUAAUUUUUAACGAUUUUUAUAUAAACUUAUAAGUUUAUUUUUUAUGGUGUAAGGAUUGAAAAAAAGAAAAGAAAAAAGAAUUACUGACUGCUGUGUUCGAAGGUGAAAUCUUUUUUUGUAAAAGUAGGAUAUAGUAGCUCCAAAAAACCAAUUAAAACAAUAAUAAUAAUAAGGGUAAACUUCAAAUAUUACUUGUGGAUUUUGCAUUUUUUUAUUUUAGCACCUUAUAGUUUAAACUGUAUCACUUAAUACUCUGUGAUUUUUUUUUUUCCUUUCUGCAAGCAUCUUUAUUAACUCUCUGUUAAAUCAUAUACAAAAAACUUCAGACACCCCAUCUAUAAUUUAUAGAAUAUUCACUUUAAGGGCUUGUUUGGUUCAAGGGUGGAAUUGGAAUGGAUAAUGGAAUGGGAAUGAAUUGGAAUGGUAAUUGGAAUGGCCUACUCUCUCAAGACGUUUGGUUUAUUUGUAGAUUGGGAAUUGGAAUGAGUUAUUCACAUUUCAUUGUUUGGUUCGUAUAAAUUAAAAAAAUUAUAGGAUACUAUAAUACUAAUUUUACUCCCAAAUAUAAAUUUAUAUUAUUUAAAAUUUAUGAAAAAUAUAAUACUAUUCUCUAAUAAGUUUUCCAAAAAAAAUAUCAAAUUUAUUUUUAAAAUUUUUUAUUGAUGUGGGUUAGGGAUAGGGUUUUGAGAGAGGAUAGGUUUUUUUUUUUUUUUGAUGAGAAAGGGGUGAAGAGAAGGAAGGUGAGAUAGUCACAUGGGCUUCGAGAACUUAGUGGGCUUCCGGAAUGAAAUCUCAAUCCGGGCUAGAAGACCGGAAUCAAGUUGAAGACUAAUGGGUCAUUCCCAUUCCAGUCCGGAAUAGGAAUCCCAAACCGAUUCAUGCGAACCAAACAAAAUUAAGUGGAUUUGAUCAAACCGAUUCUCAUUCCAUACCCAAAAUAGAUGAACCAAAUAAGCCCUAAUAUUCUGUGGUUUAUCAAAAUUUUUACUUUAAUACUCUAUUGUUUUAACUUUAUCAUUAAUUUAACGAAAAAAUCAACGAAAAGGGUAACGGAAAGAGGAAAAUAAAACCACACGAUGGUAUUAAAAGUUUUCAAUAAUAAUAAUAAUAAUAAUAAUAAACUCUGCUGAUAGUACUAAGUAUUUUGUGAUAUCGAGUUUUCGGCUGUUGGAUAAAAGGUGGUUAGGAUAAUAGUGGUCCCCUAGGGUUAAGUGGGUAGUUAGUUGAAUAGUAUAAUCUAACGGAUGAAAAUGAUCGAAGGAUAGAUCUAACGGCAGAAAACUCGAUAGUAUAAAUAAUUUGAUACUAUCAAUAGUAUAGUAGCCGGAUUCACAAUAAUAAUAAUAAUAAAUUCAUUUAUAUCUUUUAGUAGUGAGCGGCGUGAUACGAGGGUGGAAACGUGACGUCAGCAGCCGCGUUGGAGUGGUUAUUGACCGGUCCAAAAUGGGGCCCACUGCGAACAAUGACGUGUGAACGCGAGAUCGGACCGGAUCGGAUCGGAUCGGAUCGUGGAAAGAGAUGAACCGACAAUGUCGUUUCAAGUCAUUGAAAGAAAAGAAAACAAAAAGAAUGAAGGAAUGAAGGAAAGAAGGAGAAAAAAAGGAAGUGUCUGCAUCCUUAUCUCUAAUUGAGUAAAGAAUUAUUCUGGGAUGAUGAUUGAAGAUUAUUAAACCCUCCCCAACAAUGCGUAGAGCAUAAAAAAGAAGCUAGGGUUGAAGAAGAAUCUCCUCUUCUUUGGGCAUCAAGAGGGGUAUUGUAAUUUUAUUACUCUCUAAGAUUUGAUGAGUUUGGAGCUGUCGCUCGCGCCGCGCGUUAUUCUUGCAGCAGAUGAACGUAACACGAGGUGAUCUGUCAAGGGUUGCGGACUCUAAGAAUAUUUGUUGAUUUAAAUGAGGCCAGAUUGGGCCGAGUCACGUUCAAAAUAGCGAGAGGUUGGCUUGGGCUGAGCCAUAUUCGAAGUUUGUGUAAGGUUGGUUGAGCCGAAUUACAAUCGAUCAAAACCUGUGGACGCUGUCUUUGGACGCCUUUAAGUAAAUUUGUUACGUAUUUUUAACAGCUUAAAAUUCCCGCAUGCAACGCAGAUACUAGGAGGGCCUUAAAGGGGCAAGCAUUCUGCCCUAUGAUAGGGGGACAAGUUGGGCCAAGUUAUAUUCAAAGUGACGUGAAGUUUAACAUCCGAAGUGGCGUGAAGGCUAUAUUGGAGCUUUGUUUGCUGAAAAGUGAGUAACGCUUCAAUCGCUGCUAAGAAUAGUUGGUUGUUAUUCAGAAGAAUUGUCAUAAAAAUUCGGUAAUUGAAUCCCGCUAGAAAAAGGAAAAAAAAAAGAGGUUUCGCCCUAGGCUUCUCUUUGGUCUCCAACAUAUCUACCUAUGUGGCUUGGACUUGACUAAACCCAAAUACUGAGUAUAAAACAUAAAUAAAUCCUACUUGGCCCUAUUAAAUAAAAGAGAUAUACCAAGCAAAAUAUUCAUACAUCCAAACAGACUGAACGAACUCACUAAUUUGUUUCAACUUAUUUUUCAUUACAAUGCGACCAUGUAGAACAUCUUAACUCAAAUAUUUCACUCCUAAGCCCAAAUUAUGUGACAUCAACAUCAACAAUUAAUUUGGCUUGAGCCACUCGAAUCCUUAGAUGACAAUGGCCACAUUUGACCCAAAGCUUUUGCUAAACCCCUCGAGUCCAAUCCAAAUGAAAAGCCCACACCAAAAACUCAAUCAGGGUUUACUUUGUUAAGCUCAUUAGCAUCUGUGUACUUUAACAAAGAUCUUGUGAUGCCUCGGAUUUUUCAAUUUGAGCUCGCACAAUCUGGCCCGGACAAGAACAACAUUGGACUGGGUUCGAUCAAGUUGGGCCAAAUUAGCUCAACAAAUACCGGGCCGGACCUGGCCACAACGUUAGGUUAUGUCUGACAUUUGAUGUCCUUUCAUAUCUUUUUCAGCUUUUGGGCCUUAAAAGAAGCUCCUAAAUUUUAAUUUGUCGAGUACUUUAUUUUAACUAAUUGCUGUUAAGGGCCUGCUUGUUUUAACGAAAAUGAAGCAUAGAUUGAAGUAGCUUUCGAAUAAACAUUAUUUAUUUCCUGCUGGUUAUUUUUAUAGCAGUAAGACUGAAAUUUUCUCGAUUUUGCCAUUUGUUUAGUAUGAAGUAAAUGACGUAAAAUCUAGAGUUUUCUAUAGUUAAUACUUAUCUCUAUUUCUCACGUUUUGUCUUGUAAUCGAGUGCUGUCCAACAGUCCAAGGUAGGUCGAACUCACUUACGGUAGUUUAAGAAAAUUAAGUUUCGAUUGAAGGUAAAAUUACGAUAAUGCCUGGACGUCACAGACACUGAUCUGGAACACGGGAUGCAACACGAUUUAGACACGGCAACUCGGUAGCUUUCAAAAAAUUAGGACACGAACCCGACAUAAAUACCGCUAAUAAAAUAUAAUAUUAUUAAUAUAAUAAUCUAUAUUUAUUAUAUAUAAAAAAUAUUAAUUUUGAUAAAAUAUUAUUAUAUUUCUCGUACUAAUAAAAGUUAGUAAAAUUUUCAUUAAUAGUUUAUAUAUUUUUUUAAAAAAAUCCUCCACAUACAUAAUUCAUUUUAUAUUGUCAAAAAAAUUUAUACGCAUUUAUCAAAAAGUUAAAAAUAUUUAUCGUCUUACAUUAUAUGUGCAUAAAAAAAUAAAAUAAAAAAUAUAUAUUUUAAAAAAUGCUCACAUUAACAUCGGACACGUAUCCGACAUGAACAUCUGAGGCUUAUAAACGUGUUCGUGAUACAUAGGACGGAGUAAAUAGUAAAAAUAAAUAUUUCCACAGGGAUCGAAUUCACGACGUCACAAAACAACAGAAAUUUCAAUAAAGGGAUCUGAAAUAUAUUGAGUUUAAUAAAUAAUUUGUGAUACAUUUACAACCUCUGUAUUAUUCAUUGAAUUAAAGUGACACAUACAGGAUGAGAACGAUUGGUGACGUUGCAUGGGCUAAUCUAAGCCACACGUACGAACCAGGAGUUGGGUUUUAGCACGAGUGAUCGAUGUGGUCAAUUUUUGCUAGUUACUGUCACGGUGGUAGGUGGAUUAUAAUUCCAUUAUUAUUAUUAUUAUAUAUGUUUUAAUUAAAACCAAUUUUCUCCAAUUAAAUAUUAACAUAUAAUUUUCAAAUAAUAAGAAAAAAAUAAAAUUAUAAAUAGAUAUGUGGGUUAGGUAGCUGAUGCUGAGUGCAUCAUGAUUCGCCACGUGGCCCGCUGGUUAUGGCCAGGAGAGGGUCUAUUAUAUCAACUUGUUUGAGCAAAUUCUUGUGAUAUUGACUGAGGUGGGGCUUGCCAUGUUCUCGAAAGUACGGAGUUUUUCAUAUUUUUAAAUUAUCUUCGAUGUUUAGACUUUCGAAUUAACGAUUAGUUUCGUUAGAUUUAAUUUAGUAUAUUUGAAGUCUUUAGAAAAAAAUAUUUUGCGAUUUUUUGAUAUUAUUUGUCUGGCGAUCGAAGGAGCACAAAAUCAAUAGUUUUAAUGAUCGUGGUGAGUCGUUUGCAAGUUUAACGGUGUAGAAAUAUUCAAAUUACGUAAAAUUUUAAUCGAAAAUUCUUUAUACUAUAUAAAACAAUAUCAAUAUUUUCGAUCUAAAAUUUUUAUUUUCAGUCAUUCAUUUUGAGCCCCUUCGAUCACUAAACAAAUGAUAUCGAAAAAUCGUAAAAUUUAUUUUCUAGAUACUUCAAAUACUCUAAAUCAAAUCCAACGGAACCGAUCGUCGAUUCGAAAGUCCCAACAUAAAAGACAAUUUGGAAGCACGAAAGGCUCCGUACUUCCAGAAGCAUAUCAGCCUCACUCAUAUUGACUGUAUAAUAUUUAAUAUAGUAAAAUGCUAUAUAAUAACCAUUGCUAGUUAUCUCAUUUCAAAUUUUGAGAAAAAAAUUUGCUCAGUUAAAUAUCAAAUUUUGAUAUAUAAUUUUUUUACUUUUUUUUUAACUUUGUGUGGUUACAUUGUCCUGUCCAAUGCCAACACGUACUCCAAGUCUCCAACCACCAUAAGAUUUGUACCGUAUUUCGAUUAGGAUAAUCUCUUCAUAAUUUCUGAGGAUGAAAUUCAAAGUUUUAAACAAUCUAAUGAAAUUGGAAAUAUGCUUGUAGUACAUUAUUUUCUACUUAAAGUCAUUAAAAUUUAAUAUUUUCUACUAGAAUAUUUUCGAAGUAAACGGAGAUCGAAGUUUAUUUUCAAAUUGACGAUCCAUAUCGUUAAACAGUUAUCUAGACUGUUUGAACUUCUUAAGUUUUAAAAUUUACAAUUUUAAAAUAUCAUUUGCCUGAAGUUCAAGUGGCCUCAAAUUCAUUUUAUAUUAGCCAGUAAAAAUUACUAAUUUUGAGACCACUUAAAUAUUACACAAAUAAUGUCAUAAAAUCAUAAAAAUUAAAAUAUAAAAAAUGUUUAAAUAGUCUAGAUCAAACUUAACUCUUCCGUUUACUUUCAGAAAUAAUCCAACCAGACUCAACUCAACUGAUUAGUAUCUUUAAUGCAGAACUAUAUACAACUAGCCAGUAUGAUUAUAUGAGCUAACUAAAAGUUUUCGAUUCGAAUCAUACUUUUUUUCAGAAUCACAAGUGCCAUGGGUUUUAGGUUCCUAAAAUUUUUGCUUUUUUAUUAUUGAUUUGGUGAAGAAAAAUAGCCCCCCACAUGGACCACCUAGAUUUAUCAAGCUACUUAAUCUUAGGCAUGUGCGGCAUGUUAAGUGUACCUCUAAGGUAUUAAUCAUAUAUUAUUAUAAGGUGGGGGUUCCAAUCAUGGUAGAGGUUGGUAGUUUUAAGUGAUUGACUAGAACUCAAAGACCCCCAAGAUUUAGGGGAUCACCAACAACAUUGUAGAUCACCCAAAGUCAAAAGAUUACCUAAACCACAUCCAAAUUUGAAACAACAACUACACACACAAAAUAAAAAAAAGGUCUAGACAAAAUAACUUGAAUAGUNNNNNNNNNNNNNNNNNNNNNNNNNCUGUUUCCCAAAAAAAAAAAAAAAAAAAAAAAAAAAAAAAAAGCUAAUAAACAAAACCCCAAAAAAAUUUAAGAAAAAAGUUUUUUUUUUUUUUUUUACUUCCCUCUUUUCAUCUAUGGUGAAGCAUCACAUCAAUGAGGUGGGAAGCUUACCAAUUACGAAUUCUUACCAUAUUCUUUUCCGUACCCGAAGGGAAACAGAGGAGGUGAAGGAUUGCGGCGCAGUGAUGUUGAGGUUUCAGGCAAGGAUUUAAGUGCUGUGACGCGAGGUCGUGCCGAAAAUUUACCGACACGGUAUGAUAUGGUGCGUGCCAAAUCGUGUCGAUACGUGUCGAUCAAAAAAAUUUUUGUGUAUCAACACAUAAUAGCAUGAAAUAUUUAUUUUUUUUAGCAACGAAAUAUUCUAACUAUUUAUUAUGUCUUUUUAUCAUAUCUUUUAAAUUUUAUUGAAAAAAUUACUAACUAAUUUAAAGAAUAGAAGGUUUUGAACUUUGCUAUUGGCACGGGGUCUGUAUCGUGCCGAUAUUUUAUUGGCACAAUACGGCACGGUGGAUACAGUCCGUGCCGACGGACAUUUAAAACCUUAGUUUCAAACUUUUAUGACAAGACAAGAUAAGAUGCUUCUAGGGCUUCAUAUUUUCACACUUUUUGUUUUUAGGGUUUGGAUUGGAGGAAUCUGUUAUCUGUGGGACCACACAAAGUGGUUCAUGGCAGGGUUUGAUUUUCUGUUUGAAAAUUUUGACUGAUUUGAGUCAGUCUCCUGCCGAAUAUAAGUUCUAAUUUGGUUCUAUUUGAUCUGACUCUGUGUUGGCCAAGACUAAAUCAGAUAAUAACAAAAUCUAGUUGUUUCAAAUUUCUGUCUGAAUAUUUUUUUUCAAAAAAAAUAAAGCAUAUAGCGUAAUACUUUUCUCUCUCUUCAGAAAGUAAAUGCCAUUCAAUUUGGUACUCAAACGGCUCUAAAUUCAUCUACACAUUCGAAAUCAGAGAAACAUAAGAUCACAAGAAAAUAAUUUAAAAUCCGAGCAUGUAUUUUGGGAUUAAGUAACAGGCUCGUGCUAAUAAUAUUUGCAAAAUUUAGAAAAAUUCGAGAAAAUAUUACUUAUUAAAAUUGACAAAAUUGUUCAUAUAACUUAACAUUUCAAGUUUGAAAAGUAAUAUACUUUUAUCCUUUUCUAUUAAAAGUAUUAUAUGUGGAAUUUUCUUUAAUUUGACUGCUGUUAGUUGAUCAAUAAAUUUUAGCAAUCUUCUACCUUGUAAUUCCAUGAAAUUAUCAAUUAUAAAUUUAUUUUACAUAAAAUUAAACUUUAAUCUUCUUUAAUAAAACUCAUGUUCCCAGUGAUAUUUGGUUCCACGUAAAACUGUUUAUAAUAAUUUUUAGAAGAUACAUAUAUUUUUUUAUGUAUACUGAUAUUUAAUUUGCGUAUAAUAAAACCAAUAUAUCUUAUGAGAGGAAGUUUCCACUUUUCCAUUUUUCAUUUUUCACAAAAAAAAAUCUAGCAAUAAAUGCAAAUAUUUUUUUAAAAUAUAUAAAUUUAAGUUUUGAUAAAGAAUUAAAUUAUUUAUAUAAAAUCCAAUGAUUACUUUGGAAAAUUCCUUUUUUGGCCCACAAAUUAUUUUGGGAUGUGAACCCCAAACACUGCAUACUAUUGAGCACUCCAACAAGUGUCAGUGCAACAUAAAAGCACUGAGGUAAAUAAAUGCGCACACUUGGUGUACAAGUAAAUCUCAUACACCGCACUCCUAAGACUAUUGUGAAAGGCUCAAAAUAAAAAAUCAAACUUAUUGGACAUGUUUCAACACACUCAAAAAAAAAUUAUAUACAUACAUAUUAAAAAUCAUUACUUUUGUCACCGACUUUUUUUAAAAAAUAAAUCAAAUAAUGAAACCCUAGAAUCUAAACUCUAAAUCUUUUCUACUAUCAAUUUUCUGAACAAAUCUUUUCUACUAUCAAUUUUCUGAACAAACUAUUAGAUGCCUAGAUAAUAGUUUUUCAAAAUAGACCGUUCUUCAUGCUUAGGAUCUUUCAAUAGUAUUAAUCAUGAUUAUUAGGUUAGAUUUUAUUUUAUUAUUAUUUUUUUAUGAUAGCAAACUCAUACGAAGAAACUCUUUAUUUAUUAAGAUCGUGUACAUAUAUUUAACCAGAAAUCCAAGCUCUAAGUCCCAAGUUACGUACCCAUAUAUGUAGACUGAAAAUUCCAUACGCAAGAUACGCUAGCUAACGAGCAUCUUAUCACUAGAUUACUACCUAUCUGUUUGACUGCACGUGCAAAUAAAUACAGACUUAAAUUCCGUAUUUGAAGUAGUGCGUUUAAUUAAUUCAAUUACUGCCGUUAGAAUUGCAUUAGGAAAGCCAAAAUGUCGCAAUUGGAACUAUACCUAACCUGGCUACAACUCCAUCUGCAGCGGCUGCAGUUGGCAAGGGAUCGGAUCAGCUGCUAAGAGCAAUGCAUGAAAUUUAUAUGUAUAUACAUUGUUAAGGGAGCAUACAUAUAUAUAUAGUCCGAUUAUGGCGCUUUUAAUUUUUUAUCCUUUGGAUUAAUUUUUUUGACAAUAUUUAUCCAUUAGAUUAAUAUUAUUUUUCUAAAAGAACUACUAAAUUCUAGAGGGGCCACUAUCAUUGCAGAUCUAUAAUUCUUAAUCCAACGGUCAAAAAAUUAAAAGUACCAACUCCUUUGUACUUUCGAAAGCAUAGUAUCUCUCUCUCUAUAUGUAUAUAUAUAUAUAUAUAUAUAUAUGUACAACACCCACGGUGCACCAGGUGCACGCAGCAAUUGGAGCAGUCCACGUAGCAGCAGCAGCAGCACCUGCUCACGCAGUACACGCUCCCGACAUCUCCACGUAUAUAUAGAAAAGAGGAGAGGAGAGAAGAGGAGAGCAUCCUCGGUCCCCGAAUUCAUCUCCUCUUCCUCAUCUCUCUCCUCUCCAACUCCCAAAACCCUUCUCUGCAUUGCGGUUUUGUUCACUCUCUCUCUCUCUCUCUCUCUCGCUCGCGUAGGGUUUUUCUUCUUUCCGCCGAUCGCGCGCGUCUCCUUCGCCCCGCCAUUGACGCCGAUGGAGAAGGAGGUGGCGGAGACGUUCGAGGCCGCGAAGAAGGCUGCGGACGCGGCGGCGGCGGCGGCGGAGGGCGGAGGAUCGCCGGAGGCCGAUCGGUGCGUCGGCGCGCUGAGGCGGCUGCGGAAGAUGACGGUCACCACCGACAUUCUCGUCACCACCCAGGUUUUUUUUUAAAAAAAAAAAACUUUUUUUUCUUUCUUUCUUUCUCAUCCUUUUUUUCUUAUUCACAACAAGUUCGAAUUUUGGUAUGUGUAAGUUCUAUAUUUAGGGGUUUUUUUUUUUUGGAUGGUUAAAAAAGGAUUUUUUUUUUUUUUAAAUGGUGUUGGAAUUUUAAGGUUAAGGUUUUUUAUUAGGUUUUAGUGCAUGUUGGAUAUGAGUUGAUGUUUCCCAUAAGGAGGGUGAAAAAGGAUUUUUUGUUUGGGUUUUUACGUAAUGUGGAAGGUGUUGUUCUAUAACUAAUAGAGUGGAUUAAAAAAAAGGAAACUUUUUUAUGGUGUUUGGGGAUGGAGAGAGGCCUUUAGGUGAAUUUUUGGGAUGAUGAGUGUGUAAUUUUAUGGUAAGAUGUUUCGA